ensembl:lncRNA
AGUUGCCACACUUCUCCGAUCUCUGUGGAGACUUUUUUUUUUUACCUUGGAGUAUGUCUGAGUAGGUAGGGUGGAGCAUGUCUGAGUAGGUUGGGUGGAGUAUGUCUGAAUAGGUUGGGUGGAGUAUGUCUGAGUAGUUUGGGUGGAGUAUGUCUGAGUAGGUUGGGUGGAGUAUGUCUGAGUAGGUUGGGUGGAGUAUGUCUGAGUAGGUUGGGUGACACUGUGAUACUCCACAGCAGUGGCAGCUGUCCAGGAGAGCACCUUCCUCGUAUGUGUCAUUUUGGGAGAUUAGGGGUCUUGUUCACCAGGUCAGGCGUCGUAGUUCAGGUGACAUCAGGCUACAGUUUCAGUGAU